AUGAUGAUGAUGAUGAUUAUGAUGGUCAUGAUCGACGAUCGGAGACGCCGGAGAGAGAGGAGGUGAACAUGGCGUCUGUUGGAAAGGCGACGGGUGGAACGAAGAGUAAGAGGUAUCGGACUAAGUUCACGAACGAGCAGAAGGAUAGGAUGCUGGAGUUCGCGGAGAAGAUAGGGUGGAGAAUACAUAAGCAUGAUAACGUGGCGCUUAAUCAGUUCUGUAAUGAGAUUGGUGUUACACGUAACGUUCUAAAGGUUUGGAUGCACAAUAACAAGAAUGCACACCGCCGUAGAGAAGCUGCUCCAUCGGAAUCUGAAGUGGCUGUUCCUCCACCGCCACCUCAGCCCGCCGAAGUCUAAUGUUUGGAUUUCUCUUCAUGAUCUUCCCAUCUCUUUAUCUUUAUUAUGGCAAUCCAUAUAGUUUGCUUGGAUUAAGUAGUAGCAUGUAUUAAUCAAUUAACUAAUUAAUUAAUGGAAAUAGC
rnacentral:misc_RNA from 1 species